UACGUAGGGUGCAAGCGUUGUCCGGAAUUAUUGGGCGUAAAGAGCUCGUAGGCGGUCUGUCGCGUCGGCUGUGAAAACCCGGGGCUCAACCCCGGGCCUGCAGUCGAUACGGGCAGACUAGAGUUCGGCAGGGGAGACUGGAAUUCCUGGUGUAGCGGUGAAAUGCGCAGAUAUCAGGAGGAACACCGGUGGCGAAGGCGGGUCUCUGGGCCGAUACUGACGCUGAGGAGCGAAAGCAUGGGGAGCGAACAGG
rnacentral:rRNA from 1 species